rnacentral:ncRNA from 1 species
CAAAAGACAAUGAUGGAGAAGCAGUAGCCGUUCAUGGUUACAAUCAGAGAGAAGUCCGGCAGGUGAAAGGGCUUUAGUACAUGAAUUGGCGAAUUACACUCCGGAGUUUCAUACGUGAAACUUAUUCAUGUAUGACGGGAGACCAACCGUUAUAUUGGCAGUAAUUAAUGAGGUAUAUAUUUUAAAAUAUAUACAAAUUAAGGUGGUACCACGGGAGCUUUCUCGUCCUUAAG